GAGAACGUUCUCCGUGAGAAGGCAUAAGCGCGUAAAUAUCAGCGCGGACGAAGAGCCAUGGAGCGUAGGAAUGGAAAGAAGGAACGAACAGACCGGUCUUGCUGUCUGCUCUUUCUUUCUAUCUCUCUUUUUCUUUCGUCUCCAUAUGCUCUUCCCUCGCGUUCUUGAAGCAAAAGAAAAAGAUGGAGUCGAAGAAGUCUAACGCAACAGAGAGCAAGAAAGAAAGAAAGAAAGAAAGAAAGAAAGAAAGAAAGAAGGAAAGAAAGAAAGAAAGAAAGAAGGUUACCGACGAGGAGGAUGGACAGAGGCAGGCGAGCAGCAGGCAGGCAGGCAGGCAGGCAGGCAAGAGAGUUGGCAGGCACAGGUAGGCAAGCAGGCAACAAGCAAGCAGGCAGGCAAGCCGGCCGGCAAACAGACAGGCAGGCAGGCAGGCAGGUAGGCAAACAGGCAGGAAGGCAGGAAAACAGGCAGGCAGGCAGGCAAGCUGGCUGGUUGGUUGAUGGAGAGGCGCCGACGAAGAGAGGGAGUAAGAGAGAUGAAAGAGGAGGAGGAGGAGGAUGAAAGGUAGACGAGGGAGGAGAAAGGCGAGGGGAUCGAUAGAACGACAAGGACAGGGUAUGCGUAUAUAGUUAUACACAUAGCAUGCUACGGCAGCAUCGGCUGUCGUCGAAUGACGGAAAGGGGAUGGAGAGAAAGAGGGGAGGCCUGCGAGCGUUUCGAGGCGUCCCUGGAUGGCGGCACCACCGUCGACCCCAACGCACGGAUAGAUGCGAUGAGGCCUGCGCCGUUUGUGUAGGUGUUUACGAUUACUAGUGGUAGUAAGUAAUAGUAGUAGUGUAGAGUAGCGGGAUGGCUAGGUAGGUAGUGGUAGUAUAUGUAGAAUCAUUGGCACAGCGGCAGCAAUACUGACUGGGUGGGGAUAACGUCAGACUGACGGACUCGUGGGAAAGAGAGAGGAGAGGAAGCGAGUGAGUGAGCGAACGAGCGAACGACAAAGAGAGAGAGAGGGGAGAAAGAGAGAGAGCGACAUGGGCGCGCGCGCGAGGCUCGACGAGGAAGGAGAUUGGUCGAGGCGGUGGCGACGAUGCGACUGCCUCGGAGGUGGGAGAAGGCUGGCGCGAUCGGAUCGCGGUGAGUAUGAGAGAGAGAGAGAGAGAGCGACGGAGAGAGAAAGAGAGAUAGAAAGAGAUAGAGAGAGAGAGAGAGAGAGAGACAAACCGAGAAAGGGCGAGAGAGGUAGAAAGCAAGCAAGAGAGAGCGUGGAGAGAGAUGGCGAGGGAUGGUGCGAGGGCAGGAGGGAGAGAGCCGACUUUAUGCAGCUGCGGGACGAUAACAACGAUGGGCUACAGGACCGCCGCUAUAGCUGGGGAAAUGCCAAAUGGGCUACAGGACCGUGCCGGCCUAGCUGUACGUACGUUCGCUCGCUCGUAGUGGCAUGGCGGACGGGCGGCAGAGAGAAGCAGGCAGGAAAGGCGGGAAGGAGAGAGGGAUUUCAAGCGGUCGUCUCUUCUCGUCUGCCUCUGCCUCUGCUCUCUACUACGCUCUGCUCUGCUCCGCUCUGCGCUCUCUUAGAGACGACGUGUAUACCUACCCACGUAUACUCCUCUACCUAUACCACCCGUCUAUCUAUCUUUCUCUCGUUCUCUCUCUCUCUCUCUCUUCCUCUCUGUCUCUCUUAUUCGCUCUUUGCUGCCACUACGUACUUUUCCUCUCUUCUACCAUCUUUGCCUCUUCUUCCUCUUUGGUUCUUCUUCUUCUCUUUCUUCCUUCUUCUUCUUCUUCUUCUUCUAUUACGACUACUACUACUACUACCACUACUAAACUAAUACUACUACUACUAUACUACUACUGCUGCUGCUGCUGCUGUUGCUGCCGCUACUUCUGCUUCUGCUGUUUUUCUCUUUUACUCUUCUCUUUAUCUUCCUUCAUAGCUCCUCGCGUACUUUUCUCUCAAACAUUUUCCGCGACCGGUGCUCGACUCGCACGUCUUCCACGAUGACGUUCCUAGUCCUUCGCGAACUUUGCCCCUUCCCCUCUCUCCUCCCAUAUCCCACCCAAUCCCCUACCCAUCAAGGAGAAGCGCGUCCGACGUACUCUUUCAAAAAUCGACGCGUCCUCCAUUAUCCGAUUUUUCUUUGAUAAACACAAGAAGAACACUGAGACUUUCGACUUCGGAAUAAAUGAUCCGAUCCGAUCCGAUCCGAUCCGAUUUCGAACCCUUUUGAUAAUAUACGACGAAGAAUUAUUAAUACGUCCUCUCUUUCUCUCUCUUUUUCUCUUUUUCAAAGAAUAUACCUACGCAAAUGAAAACCUUACGAACCGAGUAAAUGGAAAGGGCUUGCAAUGACGUUUCUAGAGGUCGCUGAGAACAAAGUUUAAAGUUCGUACAUGGGAUGUCUCGAUUUAACUUGAUCCUUAAAAUGAUCUCGCAUUUGUCUUUUCUUUUCUCUUUUUUUUGUUUUUGUUUUGUUCUUUUUACUUUCUUUCCUUUUCUUUUUCGAGAACGAUAAGAAAAAUCAAUCGAACGGCGAAAAUGAUUGAUUUUGUAGAAACAAUUAAUAUUUCAAAACUUCCCUUUCGAAAUUCCGACGUAUAGUCCCUCUUGAAAGUUUUAUUUUCUUUUUUACUUUUUCAACUCCAAUAGAAAGAAAGAAAGAAAGAAAGAAAGAGAGAGAAAGAGAGAGAGAGAGAGAAAAAGAAAAAGAGAGAAAAAGAGAGAAAUCGAUAUUUUUUUGUUGAUAUAGUUAAACGGAACACCCCGUAUAACGAGCGUACAUUGGGAGCUCUCUCGGAAGCGCGUCGAUCCAUAUUUUAAAGCUACGGUCGAUAUUGAGAGAGAAAGAGAGAGAGAGAGGGAGAGAGAGAGAGAGACAGCGAUAGAGAGAAAUAAAGAGAGAGAGAUCGUCGAGUUUUGUACUCUUUUUGAUUUCGUUAAAACGCGAGUAUGAUUUUCUUCAAACUUAUAAAUUCAAAGGUCCUCUUCUCAGAAAAUCAACGAUAACAAAGAUAACGAUAGCAAUAACGAUGACGAUGGUGAUGACGAGGACGAUGAUGACGAUGACGAUAAAAAUGAAGACGACGACUACGACGACGACGAAGUAAAAGACAACGUGAAAUUGUUUUAUUAAAGAAUUUCUGAACGAGGACCAGCCUGAAAUUGUCAAUCUCUAAAAACGGUCAAUGCUUUUUGAAAAA